GGUGUGUUCUUCGUGUGUUAUUUGUUUACAAAACAAUGCAGGUCAGAGACCUAAGAUUAAGCAGCUAAAUCAUCCUCCCUGUUCAUGAGGUCCAUUUGUAAAUUUACAAAUGGAUUUCAUUGAAUUACCAAAGGUAAUGCAGUAUCGGUAUGUGCUAGUAAUAUUAGAUACAUUCUCAGGUUGGAUUGAGGCUUAUCCUUGUUGCCAUGCCGAUAUGUCUACAAUGUUUAAGAAAUUGUUACAAGAAUUUAUACCCUGGUAUGGAUUGCCUCGCCACAUUUACUCAGAUCAGGGAACACAUUUCACAGGAAAAGUAGUGCAACAGAUAGCAAAAAUUUAGCAAAUCCCUUAUCAUUUACAUUGCUCUCAUCAUCCUCAGUCAGAAAGAGGCAGUAGAAAGGGCCAAUGGAACAUUGAAAAAUAAAAUUGCAAAAAUUGUAGCAGAGACAAAGUUAAAGUGGCCUGAUGCACUUCCUCUUGCCUUAAUGUCUAUGAGAUUCUCUCCAGCUCGAAAGCAGGGUUAUCCCCUCAUGAAAUUCUAAUGGGAAGACCAAUGUUCACAGGAGGGGUACCUAUAAAAUGUUAUUCUCAUGAGAUAAAUGAUGAUUUAGUAAUGACAUAUUGCAUGUAGCUAACAAAACGAUUAGUCUCUCUAUAUGCAG